rnacentral:rRNA from 1 species
CCUACGGGAGGCAGCAGUGGGGAAUAUUGCACAAUGGGGGAAACCCUGAUGCAGCGACGCCGCGUGAAGGAAGAAGUAUUUCGGUAUGUAAACUUCUAUCAGCAGGGAAGAAAAUGACGGUACCUGACUAAGAAGCCCCGGCUAACUUCGUGCCAGCAGCCGCGGUAAUACGGAGGGGGCGAGCGUUAUCCGGAUUUACUGGGUGUAAAGGGAGAGUAGGCGGUGCAGCAAGUCAGAAGUGAAAGACCGGGGCUCAACUCCGGGACUGCUGUGGACACUGUUGAACUAGAUUGCAGGCGAGGUAAGUGGAAUUCCUGGUGUAGCGGUGAAAUGCUUAGAUAUUAGGAGGAACACCAGUGGCGAAGGCGGCUUACUGGACUGUAAAUGACGCUGAGGCUCGAAAGCGUGGGGAGCAAACAGGAUUAGAUACCCUAGUAGUC